rnacentral:rRNA from 1 species
UACGUAGGGCGCAAGCGUUGUCCGGAAUUAUUGGGCGUAAAGAGCUCGUAGGUGGUGUGUCGCGUCUGCCGUGAAAGCCCGGGGCUUAACUCCGGGUCUGCGGUGGAUACGGGCAGACUAGAGGCAGGUAGGGGAGAACGGAAUUCCCGGUGUAGCGGUGAAAUUCGUAGAUAUCGGGAAGAACACCGGUGGCGAAGGCGGCGACCUGGUCCGAUACUGACGCUGAGGCGCGAAAGCGUGGGGAGCAAACAGG